rnacentral:rRNA from 1 species
UGGGGAAUAUUGGACAAUGGGCGCAAGCCUGAUCCAGCCAUGCCGCGUGAGUGAUGAAGGCCCUAGGGUUGUAAAGCUCUUUCACCGGUGAAGAUAAUGACGGUAACCGGAGAAGAAGCCCCGGCUAACUUCGUGCCAGCAGCCGCGGUAAUACGAAGGGGGCUAGCGUUGUUCGGAUUUACUGGGCGUAAAGCGCACGUAGGCGGACUUUUAAGUCAGGGGUGAAAUCCCGGGGCUCAACCCCGGAACUGCCUUUGAUACUGGAAGUCUUGAGUAUGGUAGAAGUGAGUGGAAUUCCGAGUGUAGAGGUGAAAUUCGUAGAUAUUCGGAGGAACACCAGUGGCGAAGGCGGCUCACUGGACCAUUACUGACGCUGCGGUGCGAAAGCGUGGGGAGCAAACAGG